UACAGAGGGUGCAAGCGUUAAUCGGAAUUACUGGGCGUAAAGGGAGCGUAAGCGGAUAGUUUAGUCAGAGGUGAAAGCCCAGGGCUCAACCUUGGAAUUGCCUUUGAUACUGGCUAUCUUGAGUACGGAAGAGGUAUGUGGAACUCCGAGUGUAGAGGUGAAAUUCGUAGAUAUUCGGAAGAACACCAGUGGCGAAGGCGACAUACUGGUCCGUUACUGACGCUGAGGCUCGAAAGCGUGGGGAGCAAACAGG
rnacentral:rRNA from 1 species